GGGUCAGUAGGUUGGUCGUGCCACCGGUACGUACUGGUCUCACUGAUUCCUCCUCCCUGAAGAACCGUAAUGCCAUUAAUUUGGUGUUGCGGGGAAACAGGACUGUUACGUUGAAAAUAUUAGAGUGUUUAAAGCAAGCUAACGCUUGAAUACAUUAGCAUGGAAUAAUGAAAUAGGACGAUCGAUCCUAUUUUGUUGGUUUCUAGGAUUGACGUA
rnacentral:rRNA from 1 species